rnacentral:misc_RNA from 1 species
GAAAUGCGAUAAGUAGUGUGAAUUGCAGAAUUCAGUGAAUCAUCGAAUCUUUGAACGCACAUUGCGCCCCUCGGUAUUCCGUGGGGCAUGCCUGUUCGAGCGUCAUCUACACCCUCAAGCUCUGCUUGGUGUUGGGCGUCUGUCCCGCCUUCGCGCGUGGACUCGCCCCAAAUGCAUUGGCAGCGGUCCUUGCCCCCUCCCGCGCAGCACAUUGCGCUUCUCGAGGCUGCGGCGGCCCGCGUCCAACAAGCUGAACCCCCCCGUCUUUGACCUCGGAUCAGGUAGGGAUACCCGCUGAACUUAAGCAUAUCAAUAAGCGGAGGACUGUCUCCUUAUACACAUCUCCGGAGCCCAC